rnacentral:lncRNA from 1 species
ACUGGAUGUUGAAGAAUAUAAUACACGGGAAUCGCACGAGCGUGUUCCAAACCGUGAUUGCUUCUGUCCAAAUCGAAGAAGUUGUGAAAGUUCAGCAUGAAAUUACACACGGGAGUGUGCUAAGCCGUUUCAUAAGGUGAAGGACAUGGCAUAACCGUUUGCCAAGUCGUGUCAAAUAGAAGAGAGUUUUCUUUCAUAAGAAACUCAGAAAUUUAGAGCAAAAUAGGGUCUCCUUUGAGUCUUGGCUAUAAAAGGGGGGACAGUUAGCUAUUUUAGAAAGAACAACCAUCAUAGAUACAAGCUUUUGAAGACUCAUUCAAGGAGAUCAAAAAGAUUUGUGCAAAGAUU